GCCGGGCACAGUGGCAUGUGCAUAUAGUCCCAGUUACUCGGGAGGCUGAGAUGGGAGGAUCGCUUGAGCCCAGGAGUUCUGGGCUGUAGUGCACUAUGCCCAUCGGGUGUCCACACUAAGUUCGGCAUCAAUAUGGUGACCUCCCAGGAGCGGGGGACCACCAGGUUGCUUAAGGAGGAGUGAACCUGCCCAGGUCGGAAACGGAGCAGGUCAAAACUCCCGUGCUGAUCAGUAAUGGGAUUGCGCCUGUGAAUAGCCACUGCACGCCAGCCUGGGCAACAUAGCAAGACCCCUUCUCU
rnacentral:SRP_RNA from 1 species